CAGCCGCCGCGGUAACACGGAGGGUGCAAGCGUUACUCGGAAUCACUGGGCGUAAAGGACGCGUAGGCGGAUUAUCAAGUCUCUUGUGAAAUCUAACGGCUUAACCGUUAAACUGCUUGGGAAACUGACAAUCUAGAGUAAGGGAGAGGCAGAUGAAAUUCUUGGUGUAGGGGUAAAAUCCGUAGAUAUCAAGAAGAAUACCUAUUGCGAAGGCGAUCUGCUGGAACUUAACUGACGCUAAUGCGUGAAAGCGUGGGGAGCAAACAGGAUUAGAUACCCGCGUAGUCCCUGUCUCUUAUAC
rnacentral:rRNA from 1 species